CUUUGAUCAAAUUUCCAUUUGACUAGUUUACAUAUGUAGACCCUACGUUCAUCUACGUAUUAAAUCUUGUAAUACUUAUACAAUUGGUUCAGAAUGUCACAUUUUUGCAGUGUCAUUACAUGCUCAAUGCGUGCUGAACGAGAUCCGGUUUGUUUUUUUUUUUCGAUUUAGCGAGACAAAUAGAAGAGAGGUAUCAUUUGAAUGAUUUUUCUAGUGAACGUCGAAAUGCUUGUGUUAAGGCUUUAAAACGGGUGCCUCUAAGUGAAAUCUAUAUGAGAAAUGAUCGUAUUUGCUUAAAACAUUUCAUAAUGAAAAACCAGCUGCCUUGGAAGACAAAACUAAUCCAGGUGUGAUGCCCAACGAAAAUUUAGGA